UGCAGUCGAACGAUGAUCCCGGUGCUUGCACCGGGGAUUAGUGGCGAACGGGUGAGUAACACGUGAGUAACCUGCCCUUGACUCUGGGAUAAGCCUGGGAAACUGGGUCUAAUACCGGAUAUGACUUCCCAUCGCAUGGUGGGGGGUGGAAAGCUUUUGCGGUUUUGGAUGGACUCGCGGCCUAUCAGCUUGUUGGUGAGGUAAUGGCUUACCAAGGCGACGACGGGUAGCCGGCCUGAGAGGGUGACCGGCCACACUGGGACUGAGACACGGCCCAGACUCCUACGGGAGGCAGCAGUGGGGAAUAUUGCACAAUGGGCGAAAGCCUGAUGCAGCGACGCCGCGUGAGGGAUGACGGCCUUCGGGUUGUAAACCUCUUUCAGUAGGGAAGAAGCGAAAGUGACGGUACCUGCAGAAGAAGCGCCGGCUAACUACGUGCCAGCAGCCGCGGUAAUACGUAGGGCGCAAGCGUUAUCCGGAAUUAUUGGGCGUAAAGAGCUCGUAGGCGGUUUGUCGCGUCUGCCGUGAAAGUCCGGGGCUCAACUCCGGAUCUGCGGUGGGUACGGGCAGACUAGAGUGAUGUAGGGGAGACUGGAAUUCCUGGUGUAGCGGUGAAAUGCGCAGAUAUCAGGAGGAACACCGAUGGCGAAGGCAGGUCUCUGGGCAUUAACUGACGCUGAGGAGCGAAAGCAUGGGGAGCGAACAGGAUUAGAUACCCUGGUAGUCCAUGCCGUAAACGUUGGGCACUAGGUGUGGGGGACAUUCCACGUUUUCCGCGCCGUAGCUAACGCAUUAAGUGCCCCGCCUGGGGAGUACGGCCGCAAGGCUAAAACUCAAAGGAAUUGACGGGGGCCCGCACAAGCGGCGGAGCAUGCGGAUUAAUUCGAUGCAACGCGAAGAACCUUACCAAGGCUUGACAUGGACCGGACCGCCGCAGAAAUGUGGUUUCUCCUUUUGGGGCCGGUUCACAGGUGGUGCAUGGUUGUCGUCAGCUCGUGUCGUGAGAUGUUGGGUUAAGUCCCGCAACGAGCGCAACCCUCGUUCCAUGUUGCCAGCACUUCGGGUGGGGACUCAUGGGAGACUGCCGGGGUCAACUCGGAGGAAGGUGGGGACGACGUCAAAUCAUCAUGCCCCUUAUGUCUUGGGCUUCACGCAUGCUACAAUGGCCGGUACAAAGGGUUGCGAUACUGUGAGGUGGAGCUAAUCCCAAAAAGCCGGUCUCAGUUCGGAUUGGGGUCUGCAACUCGACCCCAUGAAGUCGGAGUCGCUAGUAAUCGCAGAUCAGCAACGCUGCGGUGAAUACGUUCCCGGGCCUUGUACACACCGCCCGUCAAGUCACGAAAGUUGGUAACACCCGAAGCCGG
rnacentral:rRNA from 1 species